UCUCCGCCAGUCAACAUGCUGAGGUGGUUCUGCUCCAUGUUUGUAGUUCUGGACCUUCUAUCAGGUGUCUGUGUUGGACGACUGACUCCAGCCAUGGUCCAAGAGUCAUAUGAAGAAGGCAGAGCUGUCACUCUGUCCUGCACCAUCUCUCCACGUGCUACAUCCGUGGAACUCCUCUCCUGGUACCGACAGCACCCUGGAGGAUCACUGGAUCUCCUGACAGCUUACUUUCAGGAUGGUGGAACAGUUAAAGCUCCAGUGUCUGGCCUGGCUGCUGGUGCGAAAGAUGAUGGAAGCCAGAUGGAGCUGAAGAUCGAGUCUGCUGCAGUGACGGACUCUGCUGUCUACUUCUGUGCUCUGCAGCCCACAGUGACAACAAACACACACUCAGCUGUACAAUAACCUCCCUCUCUCUCACUCCUCCAUCAGGGGGCGACACAUGGAAAGAAAAGAAACAUGACUGUGUGUAUAGUGUGA